rnacentral:tRNA from 1 species
GUGGGUAUAGCUCAGCUGGCAGAGCGCCAGAUUGUGGUUCUGGAUGUCGUGGGUUCAAGUCCCAUUAUCCACC